UUGGCCUCUGUAUGGCAAUGAGGGUUGCGGAUGGGCAGGCUGGCUCCUGUCCCCUCGCGGCUCUCGGCCUACGUGGGGCCC
rfam:Hepatitis C virus isolate QC115, complete genome